UACAGAGGUCCCAAGCGUUGUUCGGAUUCACUGGGCGUAAAGGGUGCGUAGGCGGUCGGGUAAGUCUGAUGUGAAAUCUCACAGCUUAACUGUGAAACUGCAUUGGAUACUAUCCGGCUAGAGGAAUGGAGGGGAGACUGGAAUACUUGGUGUAGCAGUGAAAUGCGUAGAUAUCAAGUGGAACACCAGUGGCGAAGGCGAGUCCCUGGACAGGUCCUGACGCUGAGGCACGAAAGCUAGGGGAGCAAACAGG
rnacentral:rRNA from 1 species